AAAAGCUUAGUUGGAUUUUGAAAAAUGUAUUUGAUAUUGAUCAAAUACCUUUUAUCUUAGUAUUUUUGAAAGAUUAAUUUUAAUGGCCACUUUAUCCUUUUGAAUUAACAAUUAUGCAUCAACUAAAAAUAUAAUAAAAUAAAAUAAAAAAAUAAAGCAAUAAAAAAAGGUAAAAGAAAUAAUGAAAGGGAUGGGGCACACUAUCAAUAUAAGAGGUAAAAGAAUUAAAAAAGACUAAAGGAAAUAAAAGAAAGAACAAAAAUAAAUAAAUAAAGCAAUAAUAAUAAA
rnacentral:lncRNA from 1 species